rnacentral:lncRNA from 1 species
AUUCUCUAUUUCGCUUCUUAAUAGACAACAUAACCAUAUCCAGAUCUACUAAAAUUAUCAGAUAUGUAAAAGUAGGAUAUUUCUCAAAGUGAAAUCUGUAUGAAGUUUGUUCAGGCAGGACAUGUAAACAUUGUAUAUACCUCUUUAUCUACAACAACUGGUGGUGCCUUCAUAGGCACGAUCCUCUUUGGGUCAGUCCGGUCUAAUCGAAGUGAACUGACUCACAUGGAAUAGGGGUAAAACUUUUAGCCAAAAAAUCCAAGACCGUCAAUUAGAAAUGAGUAGGACUUUGAUAUGUAUUACCCAUUAGGUGCUUGUGUGCGUCACAUACAUACUCCCAUCUUACAGUAAGAAAAGGGUAAAAUCGAGAACAGAAUAUCUUUAACCCUUGAUCUCAAAUUCUGAACAAAAUUUUUAAACGAAAAUUAAGAUAUACAAAUAAUAAAACCAAAAGCUACAUCCCCGGGAGGAGAUGUCCACAUUCUGAACUGAAAUACCAAAUUAAAUUUCCUCCCUUUUCACCAACUCUUUUCAGAAAGAAUUAUCGAAUUCUUAUGCUAUAUCUAGCCUGUUGAACUAGACCUAGUAUUAAAAAACCAAAAAAAAAAAAGAAAGUACAAUUUUAUAAUUGAAUCCCCAAUCACAUGCUUAAUAAAUUAACAGCUGAAAAAAUAAAACCUACUUGAAAUUUUCAAAUUACAAACUGAUUAAACACGAAUCCAUAAUUUCCUGAUGUGAAAUACGCUAGAAUUAAUGGGGUGAAUGGAGGGUUAAAUAGAAUUCCGAAGCUGGCACUGAAAUUGGUAAGUGUAAUAAUAAAUCUCAUACUCAAAAUUAUAGCGAUUUUUUCUAAUUCAGAUUUAUCGUAGCCCUAAACCCUAACUCCAUUCAAACAAUUAAGUACUCCUUAAAAUGCUAUCACAUGGCAACACAGCAAAAAUAUUCAGUAAUUAAAAUUAAAAGGAGCAUAANNN